rnacentral:rRNA from 1 species
UACAGAGGCCCCGAGCGUUAGGCGGAAUCACUGGGCUUAAAGCGCGUGUAGGCGGAGGGCUAAGUACCUUGUGAAAUCCCCGGGCUCAACCCGGGAACUGCUUGGUAUACUGGUCCUCUUGAGGCAUCUAGGGGCGAGCGGAACAAGCGGUGGAGCGGUGAAAUGCGUAGAUAUCGUUUGGAACGCCAACGGAGAAAUCAGCUCGCUGGGGAUGUCCUGACGCUGAGACGCGAAAGCCAGGGGAGCGAACGGG